GCCUAGUUAGCUUAGUUGGUAGUGCGUCUGCCUUGUAAGCGCUAGGCCGUGGGUUCGAUUCCCGCCCGGGUU
rnacentral:tRNA from 1 species